rnacentral:rRNA from 1 species
GUCUAUGGCCAUGCCACCCUGAGCAAACCCGAUCUCGACUGAUUGCAGAAGCUGAGCAGGGUCAGACCUGUUAUUACCUGGAUGGAAGACCACCUAGGAAGACCAGAUGCUGGCC